rfam:Candidatus Haloredivivus sp. G17 Contig136, whole genome shotgun sequence.
AGUCCCCUGGGGUAGUGGCCAAUCCUACCAGCUUCUGGGGCUGGUGACCCAGGUUCGAAUCCUGGGGGGACUA